rnacentral:rRNA from 1 species
UACGUAGGCAGCAAGCGUUGUUCGGAAUUACUGGGCGUAAAGAGUGCGUAGGCGGUCCUGUAAGUUUGGUGUGAAAUCUCCCGGCUCAACUGGGAGGGUGCGCCGAAGACUGCAGGGCUUGAGUAUGGGAGAGGUAAGCGGAAUUCCUGGUGUAGCGGUGAAAUGCGUAGAUAUCAGGAGGAACACCUGUGGUGUAGACAGCUUACUGGACCAUAACUGACGCUGAGGCACGAAAGCGUGGGUAGCAAACAGG